CUCUGGCAGGCAGAGACACACGAAGCCAGAAAUGAAGUCCUCAGAGCAGCUCUAGUGAAGUCAUAAGCGCCAUUGGCAAUAAUCUUCUUGAUCAAUCCAGUUAUCCCAUGAAGCUCUUGCUGUGUGCUCAAAAACCAAAUAGAGUCCAGAGUGAUGCAUAAGGUAUCAUUAAGGGUCUGUGGAUCUGCCAACAGAAUCAGACUCUCAGCAAGCUCCCAAUCAUGCGAACUCACAGCACCUUGAAACAACCGACCUAAAUCAAUCCUGUCUUGCUUAGUAAGUUUCCUGUCAUGGCCAAUAUUCUCUUUAUUGCCAAUCUCAGACUCAAUUACAACCACAUGUGACUUGAGUUUCUUUGCACCACAACG
rnacentral:misc_RNA from 1 species